rnacentral:rRNA from 1 species
AGGAUGAACGCUGGCGGCGUGCCUAACACAUGCAAGUCGAACGUCCUGUCUCGCAAGAGGCAGGGAGUGGCGGACGGGUGAGUACCACGUGGGUCAUCUACCGUGAGGUGAGGAAUACCGGCGAGAAAUCGCCGACAAGACCGCAUAGGCUCGAUGCAAGUCGAGCAAAGCUCUUUCGAGAGAGGGAGCGCCACACGAGGAGCCUGCGCCCGAUUAGCUAGCUGGUGGAGUAACGGUUCACCAGGGCGACGAUCGGUAGCUGGUCUGAGAGGACGAUCAGCCACACUGGGAUUGAGAACGGCCCAGACUCCUACGGGGGCAGCAGUGAGGAAUUUUCGUCAAUGGGGGCAACCCUGAACGAGCAACGCCGCGUGCAGGAGAAGGUUUUCGGAUCGUAAACUGCUUUUCUCGGGGAAGAGAACGGACGGUACCCGAGGAAUCAGCCCCGGCUAACUACGCGCCAGCAACCGCGGU